rnacentral:rRNA from 1 species
AUACCCUAGUAUAAAUAAAUUUAGUAGUUAGUAUAGACAGGAAAAUUAAUGAUUUUGGCGGUUAUUUUAUUUAUUAGAGGAGCUUGUUAAAGAAAAUGAGAAAUUGCUCUUUGUAUUUUAGUUAUUUUGGGUUAUUCAUCUCUGUUAUAAGAUAUACUUAAUUUAAAAAAAUUUAUUUGAUAUUUCAGGUCAAGAUGUACCUUAAAUUAAUAUAAUCAAUUAGCUACAAUUAUGUAAUAAUUAAAUUGGUUACAAAUAGUUAAAGUAAAAAUUUUUUAUGGGGCUUGUUUAUGGGAUAUAGGUAUAAAUUGAAUUUAGUUGUAAUAAUAGUUAGAAGGUUAUUAUGAAUAUUUAUAAUUAAUGAACAUAUUGCCCGUCACUUUUGUUAUUUAAUACAGAAUAAGUCGUAACA